rnacentral:tRNA from 1 species
AAUAAAUUAGUGGGUGUGGUAACUGCUUGUUUUGUUGAUAUGAUAAUUUAUGGCAAAGAAAUUAAAGUUCCAUACAUUAAUUUGUUA